UAUUUUUCCUACCACGAUAAUUUAGAAAUUAUUUUUUGAAAUCGUUGUACUCUUGUCAAAAAUCCCAAGUAAUAUACACACAAGUUUCGACAGUGUAUGUUUCUCUGCCUGUUUCCUUUCUGUAUCAACCGAGAGCACGCUGUGUACAUGAUACAUCCUCUCCCUCUCUCUUGAUCUUCAGAGGGACAAGUGACAACGAUCGGUGGUCCUUUGAAGUAAUAAAGAGGACAUUUUUGAAAGGGGAAAAAAGGAGGACCUUGGUUUCUUGUUAACCACAUUUUAAGUUUUGAUCCUGAUGGAGAGUGCCAGGCAUUAAAAUGUGGUAGUAUAUGUCACAUUUUCCAAGGUGUAUUAAGCAGCUAAGUUUUUAUGCUGGCGAAAUUCUGUUACUGAAGCAUACUUUUUCUUCUGUUACUUCUAUGACUUACGUUUUCUUUUCAUAAUUAUGCUGAAUGGUCAAAAUGAUCUAUCAAAAAAAGAGGAAAGGAAAAAAGGAAUCACCAAGAUUGACCCAAGCAAGCCUUAUGUCAAUUUUGAUAGGCUACCCAAAAGUGGGUCCCUAUGAUGAACCUCUUAUAUUAUCUGUUUCACUCCUAGAAAUCCUAGAAGUUUUACCUACAAAAGUGAUGUUGUGGUUGUUGUAAUUGAUUGAAUUGUUGAUUUUGUCAAUUUCCAUGUUGCCACCUUUAUUCUGAAUGAAAUUUUAUUUGAUGCUCUUGAAUCAUAUUACCAUUCCUUUUCUUGUUUGUGUUUUAAAGUGCUUGAAGUUAGCAUAGAUGGUUUUCUGAACUGUGUGGUUGUCUGGACUGUUCAGCUGUUUUAUCUUGUCUAUGAAUGUGAUUGAUCAUAUUUUAAGGUCUGAAUAUGACUUUUCAUGUUGAAAACGGAGAUGUACCCCAUGAAACCUAAAAGGAUGUGGAUUGGUGAAACUAUGCAUUGCAAACCAGAACAGAUGCAACAAAAGGCCACCUUAAAUGUUGUUGAUUAUUCUGAUCCAUUUGCCAUUCACGAUUUACUAGAAAGUUUAGAUACUGCGAACUUUCGAACCAAGGCUAAAGAAAUAGAGGUCCUCUGUGCUCGGAAGAUGCAAAUGCUUCACCCCUAUUUUGUAAUGUAUGUUUCACUUCCCUUUAUGUGCUCAGAUUGGGAAAGAAGCAGAGCAAAGGGGCUUCAAACCGAAUGAAUGGACAGGCCUCUCAUCUGGCACAUGAAGAUGCUAUUGAUCUGAAGAAUGAUUGAGUUGUUAAUCAUGUGUUAGCAGUGGGAGUGGUAACAGAUGCACUAUUACCUGUUGUGAUUAAUGAUUCAAAAGAUGAAGACAGUGGAGAUCAUAAAGCCUCUCAUCUCCCACAGUAGGCUGCUUGGACUUUGUACCUGUAUCAGGAAGUUAUCUUGAGGAAACUGUCUGUUGGACUUCUUACAAAUGAUCCAGCGGACAUUGCAGUAGAUCCUGAAGAAGAUCAAAAAGAAGGUGGAGAAGAAUGUGAGCAUUCUUUUGUUCUAAAGGAUGAUAUCGGUUCUGUUUGUCACAUCUGUGGACUUGUAGACAAGAGUAUUGAAUCCAUAAUUGAGUACAAGUAUCCUAAGGUUAAAAGAUCUAAAAGUCACAUACAUGAACAUUGCUAUACCAAAGAUGGAAAACCAACUGAUGACCACUCAGAUGGGCUUAGAUUUUCUGAAAAUGAUUCAAGUGUAACUGUGAUCCACGCUCAUCCAAGGCACGGCAGGCAAAUGAAACCCCAUCAAGUGGAGGGCUUCAAUUUUCUAGUAAGCAACUUGGUAGCAGAUGAUCCAGGGGGUUGCAUUCUGGCUAAUGCUCCAGGAUCUGGGAAAACUUUCAUGAUCAUUAGUUUCAUGCAAAGUUUCCUGACCAAACAUCCUGAAGUCAGAUCUCUUGUUGUACUUCCCAAGAGUAUUUUGGCAACAUGGAAGAAAGAGUUUCUGACUUGGCAAGUUGAGGAUAUUCCACUGUAUGACUUCUACUCAGUAAAGGCAGAUAGGCCGUCUCAGCAGCUAGAUGUGUUGAAACAGUGGGUGGUGGAGAAGAGCAUCCUGUUUUUAGGACAUACACAGUUCACUGCAAUUGUUUCUGGUGAUGGAGCUUCUGAGGCAGAACUUACCUGUCAAGAAGUACUGUUGAAGACCCGCAGAUUCUUAUUUUGGAUGAAGAUCACACUCCAAGGACCAUCAAAAUGAAGCUUCAUUAUUGCCUUGAAAAAGUCCAAACUCCGCGGAAAGUCAAUACUAUCAGGCCCCCUGUAUCAGAACCAUGUGAAGGAGGUAUAUAAUAUUUUGAAUCUUGUUCGUCCAAGAUUUCUGAAGUUGAAAACUUCCCAUGCUUUGUUAAGCUCAUAAUGAGCAAGAUGGACAUCAUGAGUGUGAGGAAUCAGAUGAAAUCCAGUCAUGCAGAUGCUUUCUAUAGUGUGGUGGAGACCACUCUCCAAAAGGAUGACAAUUUCUGGAGGAAAAUAACUUUAAUACAAGAUCUCCGUGAGCUGCCUGGCCUUUUUGAGUUCACAGUUCUCCUCGAUCUAAGUUCCAGACAGAAGCAGGAAAUUGAAAAUUUGAAAGUGUACGAGAGAGUAAGUUCAAGAGAAAUUGUGUUGGGAGUGCUGUUUAUGUACACCCACAGUUGAAUGUUGGUCUAUCUACGGGAUAUAUGUGAGAGUGGAUUGAUAUAUGUUUUUUAAAUCCAAAAUUUAUUCAACAU